CAUGCUGACUCCUAAUUAUCUACUAAAUAUAAUGCUGAAUAGCAGGGCACUACCAUUUCCCAUCUACCAUUUCCAGAGUUAAUGCUCAUCAUUCACCAAACUAUUGCAUUUAAAAUGUACAUAUAUUGCAUAGAUGUCUCAACAGAAUUCAUG